rnacentral:rRNA from 1 species
AGCAGUAGCCGCGGGAAUACGGAGGAUCCAAGCGUUAUCCGGAAUUAUUGGGUUUAAAGAGCUCGUAGGCGGUCUGUCGCGUCUGGUGUGAAAUCCCGAGGCUCAACCUCGGGCUUGCAUCGGGUACGGGCAGACUAGAGUGCGGUAGGGGAGACUGGAAUUCCUGGUGUAGCGGUGGAAUGCGCAGAUAUCAGGAGGAACACCGAUGGCGAAGGCAGGUCUCUGGGCCGCAACUGACGCUGAGGAGCGAAAGCAUGGGGAGCGAACAGGAUUAGAUACCCGGGUAGUCCCUGUCUCUUAUAC